GGGUGAAUCACUCUAAGGACAGGGCUGGGGGGAAUCACUAUAAGGACAGGGCUGGGGGGAUCACUCUAAGGACAGGGCUGGGGUGAAUCACUCUAAGGAAAGGGCUGGGAGUGAAUCACUCUAAGGAUAGGGCUAGGGGUGAAUCACUCUAUUUACAGGGCUGUGGUGAAUCACUCUAAGGACAGGGCUGGGGUGAAUCACUCUAAGGACAGGGCUGGGGGGGAAUCACUCUAAGGACAAGGCUGGGGGUGAAUCACUCUAAGGACAGGGCUGGGGGGAAUCACUAUAAGGACAGGGCUGGGGGGAAUCACUCUAAGGGCAGGGCUGGGGUGAAUCACUCUAAGGACAGGGCUGGGGUGAAUCACUCUAAGGACAGGGCUGGGGUGAAUCACUCUAAGGAA
rnacentral:lncRNA from 1 species